ensembl:snRNA U2 U2 spliceosomal RNA
GUUGCUUCUCAGUCUUUUGGCUAAGAUCAAGUGUAGUAUUUUUUCUUAUCAGUUUAAAACCUAGAGCAGCAUUUCCCAACACACUGUUCAGUGUAAUAUUCUUUGUUAAAAAUAUUUUUCUGAGGCCAGGCGUGGUGGCUCACACUUUUAAUCCCAGCCCUUAGGGAGGCAAAGGCAGUGGAUCACCUGAG